rnacentral:rRNA from 1 species
GAUGAACGCUGGCGGCGUGCCUAACACAUGCAAGUCGAGCGGCAGCGCGGGGUGCUUGCACCCUGUCGGCGAGCGGCGGACGGCUGAGUAACGCGUGGGAACGUGCCCCAAAGUGAGGAAUAACUGCCCGAAAGGGUAGCUAAUACCGCAUAUUAUCUUCGGAUCAAAGGAUUUAUCCGCUUUGGGAGCGGCUCGCGUCGGAUUAGGUAGUUGGUGAGGUAAUGGCUCACCAAGCCGACGAUCCGUAGCUGGUCUGAGAGGAUGACCAGCCAGACUGGAACUGAGACACGGUCCAGACUCCUACGGGAGGCAGCAGUGAGGAAUCUUCCACAAUGGGCGAAAGCCUGAUGGAGCAACGCCGCGUGCAGGACGAAGGCCUUCGGGUUGUAAACUGCUUUUAUAAGUGAGGAAUAUGACGGUAACUUAUGAAUAAGAAUCGGCUAACUACGUG